CACGUAGGGGGCAAGCGUUGUUCGGAAUUACUGGGCGUAAAGGGCAUGUAGGCGGUCCUGUAAGCCUGGCGUGAAAGGCUGCGGCUCAACCGCAGCACUGCGCUGGGAACUGCAAGACUUGAGUCACGGAGGGGAAGCUAGAAUUCCGGGUGUAGGGGUGAAAUCUGUAGAUAUCCGGAAGAAUACCAGUGGCGAAGGCGAGCUUCUGGCCGAUGACUGACGCUGAGGUGCGAAAGCGUGGGGAGCAAAC
rnacentral:rRNA from 1 species